AUGGCGGCGGCGGAGGAGGAGCCGGAGAAAGAGCAGGAACAAGGAAGCCGGGGGCCGACCAUGUCCGCGUCCCGCGGUAACCAGCGAGCGAUAGAGGCGUCGAGGCAUUGCCCCAUCUGGACGUCUGAGUCGCCCUCGACGGGGGCUUUGGUGCCAUCGAAACGUACUUCUACCCGGCUUCACGAGGACUCUGGAUGGAGCGACUUCUCUCCGGGCCAGAGCUCUUGUAAAAGUGAAUCAAAUAAGAGUAUGGAUAUGGGAAAUCAACAUCCUUCUAUUACUAGACUUCAGGAAAUCCAAAAAGAAGUCAAGAGUAUUGAACAGCAAGUGGUUGGCUUCAGUGGUCUCUCAGAUGACAAGAACUAUAAGAAGCUGGAAAGGAUUCUGACUAAACAACUUUUUGAAAUUGACUCUGUAGAUACUGAAGGAAAGGGGGAUAUUCAACAAGCCAGAAAAAGAGCUGCUCAAGAAACAGAGCGCCUUCUCAAAGAACUGGAGCAGAAUGCAAACCACCCACAUCGAAUAGAGAUAGAUAAUAUUUUUAAGGAAGCUCAAGCACUUGUCAAGGAAGAAAUCGCUCCACUCUGUAGUGGAGAUAACAGGUUAACUGAUGAAUUUGAAGAAGCCAUCCAGGAUGUUAUACUGAGACUGACACAUGUAAAAACAGGAGGGAAAAUCUCUUUGCGGAAAGCAAGAUAUCACACAUUGACCAAAAUAUGUGCAGUUCAAGAGAUUAUUGAAGAUUUCAUGAAGAAACAACCUUCCUUGCCACUUUCUGAAGAUACACAUCCUUCUGUCUCCAAAAUAAACUCUGUUAUGUGCGAAGUGAACAAAGCCCGAGGGACUCUUAUUGCUCUUUUAAUGGGAGUAAACAACAGUGAGACUUGCAAGCACUUGUCCUGUGUGCUCUCAGGGUUGAUUGCUGAUCUGGAUGCUUUAGAUGUCUGUGGACGUACAGAAGUAAGAAAUUAUAGGAAGGAAGUAGUGGAAGAUAUCAACAAAUUAUUGAAAUAUUUGGAUUUAGAAGAAGAAGCAGAUUCUACUUAUGCAUUUGACCUGGGACAGAAUCAAUCCAUUUUAAAAAUAGAAGAGAUCCUCAAGAAAAUGAGAGAUGUGAAGAAGGAACUUCUUCAAGCACAAAAUCCUUCUGAUUUAUAUCUGGGAUCAAAGACAGAAUUGCAAGGUUUAAUUGGACAGUUGGAUGAAGUGGACCUUGGGAAGAACCCAUGUAUCCGAGAAGCAAGAAGAAGAGCUGUAAUAGAAGUACAAACACUUAUCACUUAUAUUGACUUGAAGGAAGCUCUUGAGAAAAGAAAGCAAGGAGUUGCUGAGGAACACCCAUCCCACAAAGCCGUCUGGAAUGUUCUCGGAAGCUUAUCUGACAUCCAGCGAGAAGUUCUUUCAUUUGACGGAAAUAGAACUGAUAAGAACUAUAUACGGCUGGAGGAACUUCUCACCAAGCAGCUGCUAACCCUAGAUGCUGUGGAUCCUCAAGGAGAAGAGAAGUCCAAAACUGCCAGAAAACAAGCUGUGAAACUUGCACAAAAUAUUCUCAGCUAUCUCGACCUGAAAUCAGAUGAAUGGGAAUACUAAGAACCAGAGGUCACACAUUUGAUAUUGCUUGUUUUGCACUUUAUGUAGAAUCCUAUAUAUUUACAUAGAGCUCUUUCAGUCUACUAAGACAUAUAUGAUUUAAACAUGCAUAUUUCAAUACCAGUAUUUGUUUAUGACCCCUGACUUGAAUAAGUUACAUAUCUACCAUUUUUCAUGGUGCAAAAACAUAUUUACAAUCCACUAGCAUUUCCAUUUGGGUUGUGUUAUCUGUAUGAUGUGUAUUUUUAUUCUUAAAAAAUGAGUUCUGUUAGAAGUGGAGUUUAUAGUAAUCUAUUUUUUAAAUGGAUAGUGCAAAAGUAAAAAAAAUGCAGAUGUUCUGAAUUCUAGAUAGCCUUCUUACACAGUACUAGAAAAAAUUAUGAGAAAUAAAUAAAUUAUUGGCCUGAUAAGAUUAAGAUCCAAACACUAGAGUGGCACAAGUAUAAAUUUUAAUAUGCUAAAUAAAAGCAAAAAGGAAAACCAACUUUUUAAAUUUAGAAAUGUUGAUUUGUUUUUCCAUCUUACUAUUUUUUUGUUGUUUAAGCAACUUUUUUUUGGUAAGAAUUUUAUGUUUAGAAAAGUAUCUUUUCCCCUGUGCUAUGCAUAGGGGAUGACAAGGUAGUCAACAAAUUCUGUCCCUUUUUUGUUAUGAAAUUAUGAAAACUAAUAGCAAAAAAGGGGAAAUUUUAGUUUGUAUUGAAGAGGAGAUUAAAGUACUCCACAUUUAAAAUUUUUUGACUUUUUUAAGUUUGUACGUUAAAUCUGAACUGAACUGUAGUAAUUUAUGUGGCUUUGGAUUAGAAUUUUUUGGUUAAGUUUUUGAUCUUGGAGGGGAUGGAAAACUUAUGGAGACUAGAAAUGAGUAAUUUGUUAUCAGUGGCAAGUUAUGCUAAGAGAGGCAGAAAAAUAUAAUAGGUAAUGGUUUUCUUCUAUCUGACAGUCAAGGCUAUAUAAUAGACAAACUUAUUAAAUGAACCCAAUUUAAUUUUGCAACAGAUAAUUGCAAAAUAGAGCCACUGAAGUAAAUUUUCCUGGGUUUGUCAUUAUAAGAAAUUAAUUGCCAAUUGGAAAAGGAUGCCAGCAUUUUAAGUACCAAACUAACUGGAAAAAAAGCAUUGAAUUAGUGAUGCUAAGUAAUCAUUAGAUUGUUAGGGGUCAUUUUAUUCAUCUGUAGAAGCUAUUUUUACUCUGAAAUAGACAUUCAAACAAUUGCAGUACAUGAAAGUUUUCAUAAAAUUCCAUAAGUAUUUUUCUAAAUUUGAUUCUGUUGCCUGCGAGCCAAACAAAAGUGCCUUUUUAGCAUCUUAAAAGUAGUACCACCUUUUAGGUUCCUAUAUUCUAUAUGGUUGGCAGCAGCCAGACAUUUCUAUAACAUCCCAGUGAAAAUAGCAAAGCCUAUUAGACUUUAUACAUUGAACCAUAUGUUAAUAUUUACUUUCAGAUGCUUUUGUUUGAAAUAGAAAAAAACAUUUUGGCAAGGAAAAAACCUUAAUAAAGUACCACCAACCAAGUGGUAAGCUUGGUUUAAAAAAAAAAACAAGUAAGCUUUUGUUUUUGGCAAUUGCAAAAAGGUCGUUGAUAAUAUACUUGUCUUCUUUCAUGCUUCGUUUAUUUUUUUUUUAAUUUUCUCAACAUUAUAUAACAGGAGCUUAAAAGCCAGCAGCAGAACCCAUCUAUAUGCAAUGGCUUCUUUCCUCAACUUUCCCUAAUUCACCAUAGUAUUGCAUUUUGUUUAUAUUUUCAUUUUUUACCAAAAAGCUUGAAUAUUUUUGUAUCACUGACUUUUUUCAUGGUCACUUUAAAUUUUGAAGGGUAUAUAUAUAUAUAUAUAUGUAUAUAUAUAUAUACCAUAAUACUGCCUAUUAAUUGAAUGUGACAUUUUCAGCCUUUGAGAAAUAAGACAUGACAAUGCAUUUUAACUUCACCCCAGUUUUGUUUUUUUAUUUUGCUAUGCCCACUGACCUGUAGAGUAUGACAUUUUUUAUGCAAUUUUUUCCCCCAAAACUAUGUCUUAUCAUUUAUUAAAGGAACAUCUCAUUUAAAACUAGGCACUACCUUUAGGUGGUGCUAAAUUUGCCAGUUGGUUUGAAUUUAUGACAGGGGUAUUUUGUUGUUCAAAACUGUUAGAUUAACCUUGAGUGAUGUAAUAGAUUGACUAUUUUGGUGGUUGGGGGGAAAUGGAAAAUUAUCUGUUUGGUCAAAAUGUUCAAACAUGCCUUUUGUUUCUUUAUUUUAACCUAUUCCUUAUUGCCAAGGACCCAUUCCUAUUGUUCUUACUGGUGUAAUGAACUCCAGUAACACAAAGGUUAGUUUUUCUAUUUUACUUAUUGGGAACUGGUUUGAGUUGACGUGCAUUUACAAAUUGGCUCAUAUUAUAUUUUUAUAAUUUUUGCAUGAAGGAAUAUUGUAAACUAAUGGAUAAUAUACAAAAAAGUAUGGCCUGUACUUGUGUUACUGAAUAGUCAUAAAAUAUUUGUAGGUAGUAUAUAAUCUACAUUCAUAACCAGAAUGGCCAGAGGGUGUUUGUUUUCUUUAGCAUUUUUAGAUCUUUUAUUCAACAAAGUUUAAAUGAACCAGACCAUAAUGAAGUAGUUAUUAGAAAUAAAUAUACCUACCAUAUAGAAUUUAAAUGAAAUGCUUUAAUUUUGUUAAAUUGAUGUGGUAUAGUAUAUUUGAAGUAGUGGCAAUACAACAUACAUUUUGUAUGUUUUGAGAAAAAUGUAAAAUACUGUUUUUUUAUUUGUAAUAUUGCUUUUCUGCAUCUUAUCUGGUUUGUGAUUUUCUUAAGUUCAGGAUUCUGCAAGUUCAGGAUUUUCUUAGAAGUCAUUUAAGCAUUCAAAUGACCAGGUCUUUUUUUUUUCUUUUAAAAAAAUCCAUUAGGAAAUACUUGCCAUUGAUUGUUACAUGUAUAGCUACACAUGAGUAUUUGUACAGUGUUUAUUUCCUAUCCCCUUCUUGACUAAUAAAAAAUGUAGUAGUGUGUCUAGAUAGUUUAAUAUUGUUUUGAAUUAUACAUAUUCUUAUAUACAUAAUUACUAAUGAAAUAAAAUCUCUUAGGUUAUCUUUGGAUUGGAGAAAGGGCAUAAGCUAAUCUAAGGUGACUCAGACCAGAAAAACAAGGGCAACUUGUUCAGCCAUGCAAAUUUAGAAUGGGCCCAGGAACCAAAAGAAAUUAGUACAGGCAAUACCUGCAACCUACAAGCUCCAUCGGCACCUGCUAACUGAAGAGGCGUAAAGUAGUCCAGUGACAGAAAAUCUGGCCUCUAAGGAACAACCAGCUUAUAUCCAAAGGGUUCAACAGCAGAAGAUGGAUCUUUUUUGGCUAUGAAUCAUUAGACUUAAGCAUAAAAGGGACUGAAAGUAAUCAGACAUGAAAUUAUAGAUAUUUGAAGCAUCCUGGAAAAAUAUUGUUUUAUUAAACUUAAAUUACAUUGUAAUAACAUCCAGAAGACUAAAUUUGAACCCAAAAGAACUACCUGUAAUCCUUUU